UCCGGAUUAGAUACCCGGGUAGUCCCAGCCGUAAACGAUGGGUGCUAGGUGUGGGGAGGUCUUCAACCCUCUCCGUGUCGAAGCUAACGCAUUAAGCACCCCGCCUGGGGAGUACGGCCGCAAGGCUAAAACUCAAAGGAAUUGACGGGGACCCGCACAAGCGGCGGAGCAUGUGGCUCAAUUCGAUGCAACGCGAAGAACCUUACCUGGGUUUGACAUGCACGGUAAACCCGGUGAAAGCCGGGCUGGUUCGUCCGCCGUGCACAGGUGCUGCAUGGCUGUCGUCAGCUCGUGCCGUGAGGUGUUGGCUUAAGUGCCGCAACGAGCGCAACCCCUGCCCUUAGUUGCCAGCGGGUAAUGCCGGGGACUCUAAGGGGACCGCCGGGGACAACUCGGAGGA
rnacentral:misc_RNA from 1 species